rnacentral:rRNA from 1 species
GAUGAACGCUGGCGGCGUGCUUAACACAUGCAAGUCGAACGGAAAGGCCCAAGCUUGCUUGGGUACUCGAGUGGCGAACGGGUGAGUAACACGUGGGUGAUCUGCCCUGCACUUCGGGAUAAGCCUGGGAAACUGGGUCUAAUACCGGAUAGGACGAUGGUUUGGAUGCCAUUGUGGAAAGUUUUUUCGGUGUGGGAUGAGCUCGCGGCCUAUCAGCUUGUUGGUGGGGUAAUGGCCUACCAAGGCGUCGACGGGUAGCCGGCCUGAGAGGGUGUACGGCCACAUUGGGACUGGGAUACGGCCCAGACUCCUACGGGGGGCAGCAGUGGGGAAUAUUGCACAAUGGGCGCAAGCCUGAUGCAGCGACGCCGCGUGGGGGAUGACGGCCUUCGGGUUGUAAACUCCUUUCGCUAGGGACGAAGCGUUUUUGUGACGGUACCUGGAGAAGAAGCACCGGCUAACUACGUG